rnacentral:rRNA from 1 species
GUGGGGAAUCUUCCGCAAUGGACGAAAGUCUGACGGAGCAACGCCGCGUGAGUGAAGAAGGUUUUCGGAUCGUAAAGCUCUUUCGUCAGGGACGAACGUAUUUCUUGUAAAUAAUGAGAGAUAGUGACGGUACCUAAAUAAGAAGCCACGGCUAACUACGUGCCAGCAGCCGCGGUAAUACGUAGGUGGCAAGCGUUGUCCGGAAUUAUUGGGCGUAAAGCGCGCGCAGGCGGGAUAUCAAGUCUGUCUUAAAAGUGCGAGGCUCAACCUCGUGAGGGGACAGAAACUGGUAUUCUUGAGUGUCGGAGAGGAAAGUGGAAUUCCAAGUGUAGCGGUGAAAUGCGUAGAGAUUUGGAAGAACACCAGUGGCGAAGGUGACUUUCUGGACGAUGUCUGACGCUGAGGCGCGAAAGCUAGGGGAGCGAACGGGAUUAGAAACCCGGGUAGUCC